CGACAGUAAAUGCUGCUAAUGACUCUUGGGUUUUGAGGUGAUAUGGGUUCUGGUGAUGAUGGUGUGGUGGUGCUGAUGAGAAAAAAGAGUAAUCUGUUUUAAUUGAAAGAUCUGAGUUUGGCCUCGUACUUUAAGGAAAUUGAGGUGUGGAAACAAAAGACAAUAUUGAACAGAAGACCAACAGAACUGCACAUUAAGUAGAGAAAAAGCCUGAAAGUACAGAAAAAAAAAGGUCAUCCUUGGAUUUCAGAACUACAAUGAUAUAACAGUACCUACUGAUAUUCUAAUAUUCAGGCUCAUGAAAUCCUGUAUGCGCUCAUCAUAUCUAUAUAAAGUUACAUUAAGAGUGAGUACUUUAAUAUUCUCGAAAUUUGCUUUAUUAUUGAUCAUGUCUCAUAAUUUGGUUUGUCCACUACCCUUGAUUUUUUGGCAUUGUCCAAGAAAUUGACUGUAGAUGAACUCUUUUAUCUGAAGGAGUAGUUUGCACUGUUAGAACAUAACUUUGGGGAAUAUCUGGAUGGUAAGUUGAAGAAAGAAAGAACAGAUAGAGCGCUUAUUUGGUUUAUGAUUACCGGGUCUCCUUUGAAAGAUAACACCAAUCGUUAUUGUCCAUCUGGAUUGUAAAUAUGCAUAUGUUAACUAACAUCUUGUGCUUCUGUAAUUUGAAUCAGGUGUGGAUGAAACAGGACAUGAUGUUGCACCAUAGAUGUUACUAAGUAUCUUGCCUGCACCUUCAAGUAUGCAAUUUUGACCAAGAUGGAUGUUCUGAUCUUGAGCAUAGGAGGCCCUAGUUAAUUAGAUCCUCCUCCAGUUGAGAAGGAAGUAAUGGAUACUCUUAUUUGUAUGAGAGACUUUGACAGGCAGGAAUUAUAGUAAGUACAUAGAUUACUCAUUUUGAAUACAAUGCA